CGCGACGCUGGCGGCGUGCCUACAUGCAAGUCGAGCGGACAGAUGGGAGCUUGCUCCCUGAUGUUAGGCGGACGGGUGAGUAACACCUGGGUAACCUGCCUGUAAGACUGGGAUAACUCCGGGAACGGGGCUAAUACCGGAUGGUUGUUUGAACCGCAUGGUUCAAACAUAAAAGGUGGCUUCGGCUACCACUUACAGAUGGCCCCGCGGCGCAUUAGCUAGUGGGGGAGGAACGGGUUACCCAAGGAACGAAGCCUAACCCAACUGGAAAGGUGAUCGGCCACACUGGGACUGAAACACGGCCCAAACUCCUACGGGAGGCAACAGUAAGGAAUCUUCCGCAUUG
rnacentral:rRNA from 1 species